UACGUAGGUGGCAAGCGUUAUCCGGAUUUAUUGGGCGUAAAGCGAGCGCAGGUGGUCUUUUAAGUCUGAUGUGAAAGCCUUCGGCUUAACCGAAGAAGUGCAUUGGAAACUAGAAGACUUGAGUACAGAAGAGGACAGUAGAACUCCAUGUGUAGCGGUGAAAUGCGUAGAUAUAUGGAAGAAUACCAGUGGCGAAGGCGGCUGUCUGGUCUGUUACUGACGCUGAGGCUCGAAAGCAUGGGUAGCAAACAGG
rnacentral:rRNA from 1 species